GAAAUCUACUUCACUAUAGCGUGUGAUGUCGAUGGCCCGAGGUAGAGCACUCGAUGGGCUAGGGUGGCCCCCAUUUCGCUCUACCUAUCCCAGGGAAACUCCGAAUACAGGUCGUCAUUCUUAGGACGUACCGAUUGAUUGGGUGCUAAGAUCCAAAGUCGAGAGGGAAACAACAAAGAUCGUACGCUAAAGGUCCCUAAGCAAUCACUUAGUGAAAAUGAAGUGAUCAAGCGAUGAUAACCAGGAGAUGGGGUUGGAAGCGACCAUACUUUAAAGGAAGUGUAGUAUCUCACUAGUCUAGCUCCACGGCGCCGAAAAUGUCUCAAGCCUCAAGUGAUUCACUGAAGUGACGAGACCUUAAAAGCAGCUUUUUCAACGAUUCAGGUGAGGGCCCAUA
rnacentral:ncRNA from 1 species